CCCCUCAGUGCCAGGCCAGCCCCACCCCUGUGCCCGAGAUGUAAUAAUGUGGUGGAUCUAGAGGAUCAAGGAAAGUUAUACACUCCAGCUUACUUUGGAAUGUUGACCACUGGCUGUGCCCCCAGACUGGGCCCAGUGCCACUCCCCCAGCCCCUCCUUCCUCACCUACACAGCCUAGCAGAGAGCAUGGACGUCACAUGUGAGUGACCAUGUUGUCAUGUUGUUAUGGAAAUGCUGAGAUUGGCUAUAAUAUAGUAGCAAUUUGCAGCAUUGGAGUCCCUUCGUUUUUUAAACUAGAGUUCUGAUGGUCGAAUAUCAAUGAUGAACAAGACCGUGGUAUAUACUUAGCACGCCACAAGUACUAACAACUAAAGUUAUGGCCGUUCAAUUUAAUCCUACUUACUAUCCACUCUUUCUGAGAUGAUGCAGACGGGAACUCGCUAGCACAGCAAGUUAUUUAUUGCUAAGGCACUGCGUGUGUAUCCCCUUCCAUGCAUGGCACUAUAUCCUCUAAUAUAUGGUAGAUUAGUUUACUGCCCCCCAACAACCAACAGUAUAAGCUACAUUGUGUGUUUUGUACUCUUUACUUCUAGUACAAGCCUCCAACAACCAAUGGUAAGCUACAUUGUGUGUUUUGUAUUAUUCUGUCUCUUUACUGCUAGUACAAGCCCCCCAACAACCAAUGGUAAGCUACAUUGUGUGUUUUGUAUUAUUCUGUCUCUUUACUUCUAGUACAAGCCCCCCAACAACCAAUGGUAAGCUAUGUUGCAUGUUUUGUAUUAUUCUGUCUCGAUCUUUACUUCUAGUAUAAUCCCCCAGACAGUUGUCUGUUAUACGAGGUAUAAGUCGGCUGGUGUUUUUAGGCACUGUAUGUAGGACAUAAUAAUUAUGUCAGACCUGCAUCACAUAAUCAAGCUAGUGAUGAGAAGGAAAUAGAUGCACAAACAGGUGCAUGUGUACACGUAACCAUGGUAUGAGUCAAAUAGUGCUGAUACAAUACAUUCCCCCCCCCUCUACAGUCCUCCAACAUCUCCGUGUGCUGCAUGCUUGGCUGUUCACCGCUACUCUUUGCUAGGAUGCCUCAGGCAAAGUGUUGCUCUCAGUAACGUCUUCUGGACAACCUCAGAACUAACUGAUUUAUCAAUGACUAAUUAUGCUUAUAAUUAUAUUUAUUAUUAGUAGUAGAUUGUAGAUGCUCUGCUCCAUCCAACUUCAUAAAAUCACCACUUUACAUCUCUCCCCUUUAUAAUCCUUUCAGCUCUCUUCGUAUAAGUGAUAAAAGUAUUUGCCAAUUUGGCGAUACCA